UACGUAGGGGGCAAGCGUUAUCCGGAUUUACUGGGUGUAAAGGGAGCGUAGACGGCUUUGCAAGCCAGAUGUGAAAGCCCGGGGCUCGACCUCGGGACUGCAUUUGGAACUGUAUGGCUGGAGUGUCGGAGAGGCAGGCGGAAUUCCUAGUGUAGCGGUGAAAUGCGUAGAUAUUAGGAGGAACACCAGUGGCGAAGGCGGCCUGCUGGACGAUGACUGACGUUGAGGCUCGAAAGCGUGGGGAGCAAACAGG
rnacentral:rRNA from 1 species